rnacentral:rRNA from 1 species
AACGCUGGCGGCGUGCCUAAUACAUGCAAGUCGAGCGAAUGAGAUUAAGAGCUUGCUCUUAUGAAGUUAGCGGCGGACGGGUGAGUAACACGUGGGUAACCUGCCCAUAAGACUGGGAUAACUCCGGGAAACCGGGGCUAAUACCGGAUAACAUUUUGAACUGCAUGGUUCGAAAUUGAAAGGCGGCUUCGGCUGUCACUUAUGGAUGGACCCGCGUCGCAUUAGCUAGUUGGUGAGGUAACGGCUCACCAAGGCAACGAUGCGUAGCCGACCUGAGAGGGUGAUCGGCCACACUGGGACUGAGACACGGCCCAGACUCCUACGGGAGGCAGCAGUAGGGAAUCUUCCGCAAUGGACGAAAGUCUGACGGAGCAACGCCGCGUGAGUGAUGAAGGCUUUCGGGUCGUAAAACUCUGUUGUUAGGGAAGAACAAGUGCUAGUUGAAUAAGCUGGCACCUUGACGGUACCUAACCAGAAAGCCACGGCGAACUAC